GGUGAGUAAGAGCUAAAAAUAAAAUAAAAUUACCGUAAAAUCCUUUUAUUAUUUCUUGAAUAUUGGUAGAAUCAAUUGCCGAUACUAGUCGGCGAUGAAAAAACCUGUAGCUCUAGAGAACAUUAGAAUUCUUAUGUUGCUUGCAAUUAAAAACAAGCUGCGCAGAGCAGAAGUUCUUGCAAGAAAACAAGAAAAGGAGGGGAAAAAAAAGAUAGAAUAUCAGCUUCACCUGCAGUUUUUAAUACUAAGGAAGAUGGGAAUUACUCUUUUUUAUACUGUCAUUUUACCAACAAAUAUGGAAAAAACCAAAGAAAGAAUUAGAUUCAAAGGAUUCCACCUACUCUCUUAUCUUUAUGGACAGUGUGGAGGAGAAAAAGAAUUAGAAAACCUUCAAAGUAGCAUGGGAUAAGUUAGUUCUUGCAAUUUGCUGGAUACUGUAGAAGAAAAGAAAAAACAGAAUUUUCUUUGGAAAAAGAGAGAUUUGCAUAGCUUUGAUUACUGCAACAUCACACCUAUUCAAACAUUGCUAUU
rnacentral:lncRNA from 1 species